rnacentral:rRNA from 1 species
CCUACGGGCGGCAGCAGUGAGGAAUAUUGGUCAAUGGGCGCGAGCCUGAACCAGCCAAGUAGCGUGAAGGAUGACUGCCCUACGGGUUGUAAACUUCUUUUAUAAAGGAAUCAAGUGAGGCCCGUGUGCCUUUUUGUCUGUACUUUAUGAAUAAGGAUCGGCUAACUCCGUGCCAGCAGCCGCGGUAAUACGGAGCAUCCGAGCGUUAUCCGGAUUUAUUGGGUUGAAAGGGAGCGUAGAUGGGUUGUUAAGUAAGUUGGGAAAGUUUGCGGCUCAACCGUAAAAUUGCAAGUGAUACUGGCAGUCUUGAGUACAGUUGAGGUAGGCGGAAUUCGUGGUGUAGCGGUGAAAUGCUUAGAUAUCACGAAGAACUCCGAUUGCGAAGGCAGCUUACUAAACUGCCACUGACAUUGAUGCUCGAAAGUGUGGGUAUCAAACAGGAGUAGAUACCCCAGUAGUC